GUGCUUGCUUUGGCAGCACGUCUACUUUAAAAAUUGGAAUGAUACAGAGAAGAUUAGCAUGGUCCCUGUGCAAGGAUGACACGCAAAUUUGUAAAGUGUUCCAUAAAANN
rnacentral:snRNA from 1 species